UAUAUAGCUGCACCUUCCACCACCACACAACACCCAGCCGCACGUGCCCCAGUAAUGAGAUUCCCUUGUAGUUAUGACAGAAAUCGUUAUUCUGUUUUGGUAAUGGUGGAGAGGGAGGAAGGGAGACCCGAGCCCCAGACCAAGGCCGAGUAGUGCCUGGCGGGGCGUGUUGACGUGUGUGUGUGUGUGUUGGUGAGCAGCGUUCAUUGCAAGGUGUGUUCCUCCAUAUUUACCGCAUAAAAUGAAGACAAAGAUUCUUGUGUUGCCCUGUAAUGUGUUGUUCUAUGGCUGUGUUGUUGUCAGUGCUAAGAGGCUGGGGGAGGGAGAGGCUUAGUGAAGCAGACUAUGGUGAUGCCAAGGUUAUUUACUUUGUUGAAUCUCGUCGACUACGGACACAGCUGAGGUGGACCUCCGCUGCUUCCCACUGGCUCCUCUCCUCUUGCUGAAGCCACGUACGUGUGCCUGUGUUGUCCAGCAGAGGCCGGAGGGGUCUGUGAACAGCACCGGCACCAGCCAGGUGCUGGAGUGGUGCCAGGACUCAUCCAUGGUGGUGGUUGGUGUGUGAACAGCAGCGGCACCAGCCAGGUGCUGGAGUGGUGCCAGGACUCAUCCAUGGUGGUGGUUGGUGUGUGAACAGCAGCGGCACCAGCCAGGUGCUGGAGUGGUGCCAGGACACAUCCAUGGUGGUGGUUGGUGUGUGAACAGCAGCGGCACCAGCCAGGUGCUGGAGUGGUGCCAGGACACAUCCAUGGUGGUGGUUGGCAUAAGUGUUUCAGGCUGGGCCUCAUAAACCAAAACCUUUCGCCCCCCAAGCACACACACUUGACAAGGCUUUCCUAGGAUUUGUGGGGGUCAUUUCCAUGGCCUGGUUUAUGAAUUGGUGCUCCCUUUGUAUGUUGAUCACUGCCCCUAUAAAAGAGCGAAUAGAUGAGCUGCCUUCAAACCAAAUAUAAUAGAAUAGAGAUAAAAGAGUAUAUGUAGUCAGUCGGUGUAGUUGUUGUAGCUGUGGAGACAGAAGGCAAUCUUGUACGUUAAUCACCCAAUGACUUGCAGACCAACAAGAAUCGGCGGAUCUUACACUCUAUCGUGGCUGAUGAGUCUCGGCUGGAGGUUUACGAGCAGAGGGACCUGCCAGCCCCCCCCUCAAGUGGGAGUCUUCCAGCCUGUAUGCCUGUGAGCCCGUCCGCCUCUCAUGAUCUCCACGGCUUUUCAGACCGAGGUGAACAGAGGCGUGACUGAGCUGGUGUGUCUAAGGGAGGAGCUGAUGGUUGCCACUGGGCCAGGCCAUACCCAGCGGCUGUGUUGGGACGGCUCCGUCAACUACAGCCACAAGCUGCGUGGACCUGCAGCGCGUCCCAUUCUGCAAUGAUCAGCUGGCAGUGAAGGGUAAGGUCAGGUCUUUAGAGGCUGUGGUAUGUGUGGGGGGAGUCCGGUGUGUUUAGUCUUGCCCUGCAGCGGUGCCCCUAGAGGCUCCGGGGGUGCAUGUGGUGGACCUGGAGUGUUCCCCGGUGGUGGUCCUCAGCGACGGCAGGGCAGCUUUCCUCACCGCCUCAAAUUUGAUCCUGAUUUGUCAGGGCGUGGUGUGGCUGGACCCUGGUGGGUGAGGCAACAGGCGGCCUGGAGGUGUCCCACAUUAUGGUGCCCUCAGACAGAGACUACGGAGGAAGGGUCACCAGGGCCAGUGGUGGGCUCCUGAUGGCACUGUGCUGGGCAUGAGCUGGACAGGAGGAGGAUUGCUGCUGUGGAGUGCAUUUGGCUCCCUGCUGACUGUGUCUCUGCGCUGGGACCACUCCGAGGACCCACUGUCUCUUGCCAUUACUAUAAGGAAUAUGGUAAGUAGCAGGGGGUGGAGUGCAGUCACUGGAGUCGCCUACUUUUGGCCAGAGUCAAAGUCGCUAAAAUUAUCUCCGACACCUUUAUGACAAAACAGCUGCUUCUUCCUCUUAAUGAAAAUUGGUUAGGUUAAGUUAGGUUAGGUUAGGCUAGCUGGUUCUUCCUCAUAAUGAAGAUUGGUUAGGUUAGGUUAGGUUAGCUGGUUCUUCCUCAUAAUGAAGAUUGGUUAGGUUAGGUUAGCUGGUUCUUCCUCAUAAUGAAGAUUGGUUAGUCAUUCUUAAAGUCAUACAAAGGCCAUGGAAGCCUUCAGAAAUGUUUGCAAACUUUGCUUAUUCAAAAAACUUGCUCCAGGCAUGUCAAACUACAUAUUUAAUUGAGGCAAACUACUUGUGUGUCUUACGGUCAUAUUCUUUAUACAUUUCAGCGCCCAAUCACAUGUAUUUGACAAGGCUUUCGUAGGAGUUUGGGGCAUUUCCAGGGGUAGUUUUAUGACCCUGGUGGUAGUUUGACCCUUUUUCUGUACCAUGAACCUAAGAAACAUAUUUGACUAGGCUUUCAUAGGAGUUUUGGACAUUCCCAUAUCCAAAACUGAUAGCUUGAGUAAAAGUCAUGUGCAUCGGGGCACACUAUACUAAGGUUAACAUCACUUUGUUGUUUUCUGCCUGUCUGUUUCUCUCCCCAGUUCCACAGCGCCCAGAUGACUCCC